AUACUUACCUGGACGGGGUCGAUGGGUGAUCUAGAAGGCCCAUGGCCUAGGUUAGUGACUUUCAUUGCACUUGAAGGAGGGGUGCUCGCCUAAGGUCUACCCAAGUGGUGGAGCCUACGUCAUAAUUUGUGAUAGCGGGGGUUUGCGUUCGCGCAGCCCCUGU